AUAAUCGUGAAAGUUUCGCAAUCUGAGCGACUGCUGCGUGCAAGUUUGUCGGCAAAAGUCCACAAUCGUGGACAUUUCAGUGUGCAGUUUGCAACAGCAUCGGAGAAAACACUAACCUAAACUAAUCCGAAACGACUUGCAGCUCGUAUCUUCACUAGAGAGAAUCGUUCGUUUCCAGGUAUCGCCAACUGAUACUGGAUCCUCAUGCUCCGCAGCGGGAUUGACACGCUCGUUUGUCAGCAACGUCUUGUCCUUGUGAAACACGAUCAACGAACGACGUCCAUUACGCGGCUUUGUUUGCGAUCCUUUCGGCGAACUCGGUCAGCCAAGUUCACGGCGGACCGUGGCGGCGAGUUGCGCCGCGAAUUUGGGACGAGAUCAGCCGGCCCCGUAAUUUUCCGUAAUUUCGUGCGAAUUAUGCACGUCCACGAUCCUCGGCGUACGCGGACGAACGCGGCCGCGCGUGUUUCCUCUGUUUCCAUGAGGAACGAUCGAGAAACGGUCAGCAGUCCCUUCCGGGCUUUGACGAAGAUACCUUUGAUGAUUUAUUUCGUCGGAAACGCGACAUUCCUUUUCCUUUCACGCAGCUUCAACGUUCCAUCGGUUCGUUACUCUCGUGGCCCACAAAGAAUUCGAGAUUCGUCCAUGUGGGCAGCGCGAAGGAUACCGGGGAGCAAAGAGCAAGGCGAGAGAGAGAGAGAGAGAGAGAGAGAGGGGAGAUUGAUCUCUCGCGUUCGAUCAAUCCUGAAUAAUUCGUCGAAGCGCGCGCGGUCCCAGAAAUGAGUUACGCGGCGAUAGCAGCCGUAAUCCAUUUGCGUUAUCCGGCCGGAGGAAAGUUCUAAUUAGCCGUGCGCCAAUUGAAAUCGUAAGAGGCAUUAGUCGACCGCAGUUAGCGGGCGCAGUCGUAGCGCGGCGUAUUAAUUGACAUUAAUUGAGUCCGAGACGGCAUCAAUACGGCUCUCGCAUAUACUGUCCCCGCGUGCGAACGUGUCUUUCGGUCGCGAUGCUUCCAGAUCAACUUUCGGCCAGAUCAACAUUCCCCUCAUUCCGCAGGAAGGAAGGAAGGAAGGAAGGUUUCAGGUGCUGCGUGUCUCUCCCUGAACUCUCAAGUUCCCCGCGCUCUAGCAUUUUCUCGAGAAUUUUGCACUUUCACAGUAACGGGUUGGACACGAUUGGAUCGCAAGCAAAAUUAUUUGCCAAGUAUCGCACCACUCUGGCUGAGAGAGUGUUCGCUCCCGAAGCAAACCGAAAUGGCACGAAAAGACCAAGAAGUGGCGUUACAGAACAAGCUUUUCACGAAGAACAGGAGGGUUUGUUGGGGUAUGGCCCUAGAAUAGCUGAUUAACACCAAACAAUUAUCAACAAGACAAGUUAGGGGCCGGAGACAAGUUGAGGAUGGUCACCAUCGAGAGAAAACUUUUCUGAGGCGACUCUCGCGACGAGCAAUUUUUUAAUACAUUUUUCUUGUAAAAAUCAUAAAUGUAGUAAAAUGUUGGGGGAACAAGAUACUGUAUAAAUUCAAUAUCGAUAGAGUUGAUA